rnacentral:rRNA from 1 species
CAAUAGCGUAUACUAAAGUUGUUGCAGUUAAAAGCUCGUAGUUGAAUUUCUGGUCGUGGCGAUCGGUCCGCCCCUCACGGGGUGUGCACGGGAUUCACGACGUUUACUUUGAAAAAUUAGAGUGUUCAAAGCAGGCAUUCGCUUGAAUAUCUCAGCAUGGAAUAAUAAGAAUAGGACUUUGGUCUUAUUUUGUUGGUUUCCGAGACCGAAGUAAUGAUUAAUAGGGACAGUUGGGGGCAUUCGUAUUUCAUUGUCAGAGGUGAAAUUCUUGGAUUUAUGAAAGACGAACUUCUGCGAAAGCAUUUGCCAAGGAUGUUUUCAUUAAUCAAGAACGAAAGUUGG